UGCAAGUCGAACGAUUAAAGCUCUCUUCGGAGAGUGUAUAGAGUGGCGCACGGGUGAGUAACACGUAAGUAAUCUACCUUUGAGUGGGGAAUAACAGUCGGAAACGACUGCUAAUACCGCAUAAUGCAGCGGCAUCGCAAGAUGACAGUUGUUAAAGGAGCAAUCCGCUUAAAGAGGAGCUUGCGGCAGAUUAGCUAGUUGGUAAGGUAAUGGCUUACCAAGGCUACGAUCUGUAACCGGUCUAAGAGGACGGUCGGUCACACUGACACUGAAUAACGGGUCAGACUCCUACGGGAGGCAGCAGUCGGGAAUUUUGGGCAAUGGGCGAAAGCCUGACCCAGCAACGCCGCGUGAAGGAUGAAGUAUUUCGGUAUGUAAACUUCGAAAGAAUAGGAAGAAUAAAUGACGGUACUAUUUAUAAGGUCCGGCUAACUACGUGCCAGCAGCCGCGGUAAUACGUAGGGACCAAGCGUUGUUCGGAUUUACUGGGCGUAAAGGGCGCGUAGGCGGCAAUUCAAGUCAUCUGUGAAAUCUCCGGGCUUAACUCGGAACGGUCAGAUGAUACUGCUUUGCUAGAGUGCAGAAGGGGCAAUCGGAAUUCUUGGUGUAGCGGUGAAAUGCGUAGAUAUCAAGAGGAACACCUGAGGUGAAGACGGGUUGCUGGGCUGACACUGACGCUGAGGCGCGAAAGCCAGGGGAGCAAACGGGAUUAGAUACCCCGGUAGUCCUGGCCCUAAACGAUGAAUACUUGGUGUCUGGAGUCAUUAUUGCUCCGGGUGCCGUCGCUAACGUUUUAAGUAUUCCGCCUGGGGAGUACGCACGCAAGUGUGAAACUCAAAGGAAUUGACGGGGACCCGCACAAGCGGUGGAGCAUGUGGUUUAAUUCGACGCAACGCGAAGAACUUACCUGGACUAGAAUGUGAGGGAAUG
rnacentral:rRNA from 1 species